rnacentral:rRNA from 1 species
GGGUCAGUAGGUUGGUCGUGCCACCGGUACGUACUGGUCUCACUGAUUCCUCCUUCCUGAAGAACCGUAAUGCCAUUAAUUUGGUGUUGCGGGGAGACAGGACUGUUACUUUGAAAAAACUAGAGUGUUUAAAGCAAGCUAACGCUUGAAUACAUUAGCAUGGAAUAAUGAAAUAGGACGAUCGAUCCUAUUUUGUUGGUUUCUAGGAUUGACGUA